GACGAACGCUGGCGGCGUGCCUAAUACAUGCAAGUCGAGCGAGUCUCUUCGGAGGCUAGCGGCGGACGGGUGAGUAACACGUAGGCAACCUGCCUCUCAGACUGGGAUAACAUAGGGAAACUUAUGCUAAUACCAGAUAGGUUUUUGGAUCGCAUGAUCCGAAAAGAAAAGGCGGCUUCGGCUGUCACUGGGAGAUGGGCCUGCGGCGCAUUAGCUAGUUGGUGGGGUAACGGCCUACCAAGGCGACGAUGCGUAGCCGACCUGAGAGGGUGACCGGCCACACUGGGACUGAGACACGGCCCAGACUCCUACGGGAGGCAGCAGUAGGGAAUUUUCCACAAUGGACGAAAGUCUGAUGGAGCAACGCCGCGUGAACGACGAAGGUCUUCGGAUUGUAAAGUUCUGUUGUUAGGGACGAAUAAGUACCGUUCGAAUAGGGCGGUACCUUGACGGUACCUGACGAGAAAGCCACGGCUAACUACGUGCCAGCCGCCGCAGUAA
rnacentral:rRNA from 1 species